AAAAGAAAAGAAAAGAAAAGAAAAGAUCAAGCGAUGAAAGAAAGAGGAGAAGAGCAAUGGUUCAGGAUUUGCUGAUUCAGCGUCUGCAGCCACUUUAUAGAACAUCAUUACUAUAAACCUGAGGGCAGCGUGCAAGGUGGACAGCGUGGAAUCAGGACCCGAGGCAAGAUCUCAGGCAACAGAAGCCAGCUGGCAUGUUUUGAGGACAUUCAGACAGCCCAGUGGAAAGGCCCAUAUGGUAGGAAACCAAAGCCCUCAUUCCAAUAGCCCCUGAAGAACUGAGGCCUGCCAACCACCACGUGAGUAACCUUGGAAGUGGAUUCCUCAGUCCCAGCUAAGCCUUCAGAUGAGAUCACAGCCACAAUCAACAUCUUCUCUACAUCAUUUUAGAGACCCUGAGCCAGAAACACCCAGCUUGGCUACUUCCAGGUUCCUGACCCUCAGAAACUGUGAGCUAAUAAAUGUUUGUUGUUUUAAGCUGCUAAGUUUUGUGGUAAUUUGACACGUAGCAAUAGAUGACUAAUGCAC